AUUGAACGCUGGCGGCAGGCCUAACACAUGCAAGUCGAGCGAGCGGCGGACGGGUGAGUAAUGUCUGGGGAACUGCCCGAUAGAGGGGGAUAACUACUGGCAACGGUAGCUAAUACCGCAUACUAUCGGAUGAACCCAUAUGGGAUUAGCUAGUAGGUGGGGUAAAGGCUCACCUGGGCGACGAUCUCUAGCUGGUCUGUGAGGAUGACCAGCCACACUGGAACUGCGACACGUCCCAGACUCCUACGGGAGGCAGCAGGGGGGAAUAUUGCACAAUGGGCGCAAGACUGAUGCAGCCAUGCCGCGUGUAUGAAGAAGGCCGUAGGGUUGUAAAGUACUUUCAGCGGGGAGGCGUUACCCGCAGAAGAAGCACCGGCUAACUCCGUGCCAGCAGCCGCGGUAAUUC
rnacentral:rRNA from 1 species